GACGAACGCUGGCGGCGUGCUUAACACAUGCAAGUCGAACGAAGAGCGAUGGAAGCUUGCUUCUAUCAAUCUUAGUGGCGAACGGGUGAGUAACGCGUAAUCAACCUGCCCUUCAGAGGGGGACAACAGUUGGAAACGACUGCUAAUACCGCAUACGAUCUAAACUCGGCAUCGAGGAUAGAUGAAAGGUGGCCUCUACAUGUAAGCUAUCACUGAAGGAGGGGAUUGCGUCUGAUUAGCUAGUUGGAGGGGUAACGGCCCACCAAGGCGAUGAUCAGUAGCCGGUCUGAGAGGAUGAACGGCCACAUUGGGACUGAGACACGGCCCAGACUCCUACGGGAGGCAGCAGUGGGGAAUCUUCCGCAAUGGACGAAAGUCUGACGGAGCAACGCCGCGUGAGUGAUGACGGCCUUCGGGUUGUAAAGCUCUGUUAAUCGGGACGAAAGGCCUUCUUGCGAAUAGUGAGAAGGAUUGACGGUACCGGAAUAGAAAGCCACGGC
rnacentral:rRNA from 1 species